rnacentral:rRNA from 1 species
GACGAACGCUGGCGGCGUGCUUAACACAUGCAAGUCGAGCGGUAAGGCCCUUUCGGGGGUACACGAGCGGCGAACGGGUGAGUAACACGUGGGUGACCUGCCCUCAGCUCUGGGAUAAGCCUGGGAAACCGGGUCUAAUACUGGAUAUGACUCCAUGACGCAUGUUGUGGGGUGGAAAGCCUUGUGCGGCUGAGGAUGGGCCCGCGGCCUAUCAGCUUGUUGGUGGGGNGAUGGCCUACCAAGGCGACGACGGGUAGCCGGCCUGAGAGGGCGACCGGCCACACUGGGACUGAGACACGGCCCAGACUCCUACGGGAGGCAGCAGUGGGGAAUCUUGCGCAAUGGGCGAAAGCCUGACGCAGCGGCGCCGCGUGAGGGAUGACGGCCU